GUAAUUUACAAUCUCUAGCUAUGUGUCCUAAUUUUCCACAAUUAUAACAAGUACACUCCGUUAAUUUUCUUUUUGGUCUAUAUGGUCUUUUGAUUUUGUAGUUUUUUACAUAGUAUCUUCUUCUUGGUUUUUUAUAUUUAUAUUUUGAUAUGUAUUUUUUAUUAUAUUUCUUUCUAUUUUUAUAAUACCUAUCCGUACAACCAAAUUGAGGUGUUGUUUUAUAUUUGCAACAUGCCAAGUUUUUUACUAAUAUUUUUUCCAUUU
rnacentral:lncRNA from 1 species